rnacentral:rRNA from 1 species
UGGGGAAUAUUGGACAAUGGGCGAAAGCCUGAUCCAGCCAUGCCGCGUGAGUGACGAAGGCCUUAGGGUUGUAAAACUCUUUCGUCGGGGACGAUAAUGACGGUACCCGAAGAAGAAGCUCCGGCUAACUUCGUGCCAGCAGCCGCGGUAAUACGAAGGGAGCUAGCGUUGUUCGGAAUCACUGGGCGUAAAGGGCGCGUAGGCGGCAUGACAAGUCACUUGUGAAAUCUCUGGGCUUAACCCAGAACGGCCAAGUGAUACUGUCGCGCUAGAGUGCAGAAGGGGCAAUCGGAAUUCUUGGUGUAGCGGUGAAAUGCGUAGAUAUCAAGAGGAACACCGGUGGCGAAGGCGGCAUCCUGGACCGGUAUUGACGCUGAGUGAGCGAAAGCCAGGGGAGCAAACGGGAUUAGAUACCCCCGUAGUCCCUGAGCGGGCUGGCAAGGCGCAU